UUCUAUCUAAAUGACUAUAAUCAUGAAAUGCAAAAUUGAUGGUUUAAAUCAAGGGUUUUAAUUACAUUGAUUGCAGGACAACCACUGGUCAAUCUCGUUGACAGGUCAAAAGGGAGAGUAGAGUAAGGGUGCUUCUCAUUUCUUAAAUUAGGCAUCGUCGUUUCUUUGCUCCUCCAUCCUCGAGCCCGUAACCCGGAAACCGAUCAAAGUCCGCCAUCAUGAAGGAUGUAUCAAUUAUCUACUGUAAAUGCCCCGCGAGGACGAAGUUUCCUGAGGGCGCUUGAGCAAGGACUUUUUGUCUGAAACACCUGACGCACGCAUACAUUCUCCUCCUCCUUCACAUCUGACACAACAGCUUAAAUUCAUAUUUCACCUUUUCCGUUUAAAUAUACCAUAAUUGUCACAUACUCCAACAGCGCAUCUUGAAUUAUUAGGUUUUAUUAUAAAAAUAUCAAUUAAUCAAGUUUCAACAGCUUAAAGGUAAGCGCUCCGAGGUAAUGCAGCUGCGCAGAGACGGCACUUCGAAGAGACGUGAGUGAGCAGGACAUACCAUUUCACAAAUCAGUCUUGCAUCGUUUCCUCCGUCCUCAUUUCCUUUCCAUGAUUCAUAAGAGGGUGGAGCUUGGAAGCGAGGAAAGGAAGCAAAGAAAGGAAACAAACGAGGAUGUACAAUUUAAGAAAUGAGAAGCACCCAAAGAAACUACACAAAUAAGAAUUUUAAAGAUCACUUUUAUUUCCUUAUUUUGUGCCUGUGGGCUGUUUGACUGGCUUAUCUGUGUGGGCUAUAUUUGUGCGUGUGCUCUGAGAGCACUCAUUGUAAUACGGAUAUUUGCUUGAACGGUAAAAAAUACGCUUCAGAAUUUGGUGAAAAUGCCUCUCUUGCUAACUACCUUUGGACAUUGGAUCACUUUCCUGAGAGCUGAUGAAAGUGAAUUGAAGGAGAAACGUUGUGAUUUCGUAACUGGAGAAAAAUCUUUGAGUUGCUCAAAGACUAAGAAGUUCUCAAAGAAUAUCAGCUAAAAAAAUGUUUUAUCUGCUCUCAGAGUGACAUUUUUUAAAAGAUAAAAGCCAUCUUGAUAUACACAUGAGAGUUCACAGUGAAGAGAGGCCUUACACAUGUCAUCAGUGUGGAAAGAGUUUCAAAAGUAAGCCAAACCUUAAUAACCACACAAGUAUUCAUAUUGGAGAGAGGCUGUUUUCAUGCCUUCGUGCCAUCAGUGUGGAAAAGUUUUCACUCAAAUAGGACAACUUGAUGUACACAUGAGAAUUCACACUGCAGAGAAGCCUUACACAUGGGUUCCACAGUAUGACAGAUUUAUAAUUUUUUUUUUUUCUGAGUAUUAUUGGGAUUGGGAUUUUGGUACACAACUGCAUCUGGGAUUUCAUUCAUUUUGGACUCUAUUAGCUUCCAUCUUUGGGCCAUCCUGUCACAGUAAGAAAAGAUCAAGAACAGUUUUUAACACAUUCAAUAUAUCGAUUUUAAAAACUAUCAGCCGAUUAAUCAAUUAUCACUUAAUUCUAACAUCAAAUAUAUCUAUAUUAUUACUGUUAAAUUUGCAAAAAUCAACUAAGACUGGCUAUUUGGUUGCUUAUAGAGUACAUAACAUGGUAAAUUAUAGCAUUUUCUUAGCAAGUCCACUAAUGUAUAGUGUGCUGAUUGUACAUGAAUUAAUUGAAAUAAAAAGGAGCAAAAUCUAAUACUGAGUGACCUAUUUAAUGAACGUGGAGAACAUUUUAUUUAUCUAUAAUCGUUUGCAUUCUUUCAAUGAAAUUUUACUUUUAUCCAAAUAGCAAGAUAUCUUUACAUAUGCCAGAAGUAAUGAUAAUCGUAAUCUCUGUAGUUUAUUUAAGAUGAAUGACGUACAGGGAAGGUGGAAAUACAAAUUCGGAAUAAAUAAACACUUAAAAAAAAUACAUCUUUAUAAAUAAUAAAUCACAAAUAACAAAUAUCAUAUCGAAAUGGUAAAAUUGCCUGCGUACUCACUGGCAACAAUAAAAAUAUGCAGCUUGGAGAUAUGUAUUCUUUGAAUUGAUCCAAGAGGUCAGUGUAUGACAAUUCAAUCUUCUAUUGGUCACACCUCCUCUCAUCAUUUGGAUUCUUAGGUCAAAGUUCACCAAACUUGAACUUUAGUAUGCAGCUGAGAGCAAAAUUUCUUCACAUGACCAUUGUUUCCGGUCUCCCACAUUCGGAUGCGUUUGAAUGGGAAUGAAUGGAGUGCAAAGUGUAGUUUGACUGGGGCUUUAGUGGUGGGGUUUUUGAUUUAUCCCAGUGAGUCUUUUGAAUUAGUUUGAGAGAGGUUUAAUUGUGAAUGUUAUUAAUUUGUUUAUUUCUCCCCAGAUUUCUGUUGUACUGUAAAUUGAAUAUUUUUUUUUUCACUUAUUUGUGCAUCAUCAGCAUCUUUGUUUUAUUGUUAAAUAACUGUUAAGUCUAUUUUGCUGUUAUAGUGAAUGUUUUAGAAUAUUGAAUCCUGUCCCUUUAAAAGUUUGCUAUGUUUCACUGGGUCGGGUGGCGCUUGAAUUGAUUGAGGGCAGGUAGGAAUCGCAUUUGUCUCUGUCAAUAAUGUUAGGAAAUAAUCAGAAAUAUAUAUUUUGGUAAGAUAGUGGUUGUUUUACUAUUUAAUGUUUCUCUAUGGGGAGUUUUGUGUGGUAAUAUUCAUAAAAAUGAACACAUAGAACGGCUUUCCCCAGUCUUUUUCAGAAUAUAGGAGACAUCAUAGACCAGUGUCUUUGGUUCAAGACUGUUUUAUUUAGAAAAUAUGACAUGAGAGGCUGUGCUAUAUUGUGAAUAUAGUCACGGCUGAAGGACAUUGUUAAAAUUAUUUAGUUUCAGGAGAAGCAAGCAGACAUCUUAGAAAAUCAUUUUUAAUUUCUUAUAUACAUAUAUAUAUAUAUAUAUAGGCUUGUUAAAUCCAGUGGCUGAUUGUGAUUGUAUUAGUUCAAUGAAGGCGACUGUAUGUUGAAUAAAACUUGCUAUAGGCUAUCCAGCAGCGCUCUUCUUUAGGCUUGUAUAUUUGUCAUUUGAAACGCGAUUAAAAAAAAUCAGUUCAGCGUUUUUGGGCUUUGUCUGAAGUGCAAAAAAAGUACACAACAGCUUUUUGUUAUGUUUUUCGUUGUUAAAAUAGCCAAAUA